UGUGCGUGCAUAUUUGUGUGCAGAGACACAUGGAUGUCCACAUACUGCGUGUUGAAGACGUACCAGAGAUGCUGGCACAACGGUCACAUGACCCAGAGAGAACUGCUGGACAGUGACAUUACUCAAUACAGAGUGCACUGUGAGUAUUUGCUGUUGUGCCUCUAUAAGGAGGACAUGGAUCAUGUGUUUACUGAAGACCCCAAUCGGACAAUCCCACGCUACAGCAGUGUGAUCUCUAAACCCAUGUGGCUGAACAGAGUGAAGGAGAAGCUGCAGAAUAAAGAGUACAGAACACUGAUCCAGUUUGUGUCUGACAUCCAGCUCAUCUUUCAAAACUGCCACAUCUUUAAUAAGGUGAGGUGCUGCAGUGCAAAUAUCAGGAACCACCAAACUCUUCAUUCUUUCUCUUUCAGUCAGAACACCUGCACUCAAAAAAAUAACUCAUUGGAUUAACUCAAUUAAAUUGUGGGCAGGAUUU
rnacentral:lncRNA from 1 species